rnacentral:rRNA from 1 species
GAUGAACGCUAGCGGCAGGCCUAAUACAUGCAAGUCGAGGGGUAAAUAUGUAGCAAUAUAUAUGAGACCGGCGCACGGGUGCGUAACACGUAUGCAACCUACCUAUUACUGGGGAAUAGCUCAGAGAAAUCUGAAUUAAUACCCCAUAACACUGCAGAAUGGCAUCUUUCAGCAGUUAAAGCUCCGGCGGUAAUAGAUGGGCAUGCGGAACAUUAGCUAGUUGGUGAGGUAAUGGCUCACCAAGGCUACGAUGUUUAGGGGUCUGAGAGGAUGAUCCCCCA